rnacentral:tRNA from 1 species
CGGAGAGGUGUCCGAGCGGCCGAAGGAACCCGACUGGAAAUCGGGUAGGCGGCUAAACCCCGCCUCGAGGGUUCAAAUCCCUCCCUCUCCGCCAA